ensembl:miRNA Mir7078 microRNA 7078
CAGGGUGUGGGUGGUAGGAGAUGCUGGCUGGUAUUUGACCAGGUACUUUUUUUUAUCAUCCACAG